rnacentral:tRNA from 1 species
GUGAGUAUAGCUCAGUGGUAGAGUGAGUGACUAGCAUGCACGAAGGUCAAGGGUUCGAUCCCCUGUACCUCCA